rnacentral:lncRNA from 1 species
GCCACACCAUCAUAGUAUAGCAGCCCCUUGGCAUCCCUGCCACGUCACUCAUGCCUCCUCAGCCCUUGUUAAACCAAUUUUCAAGUCCCAAGAUUUCCAAAACAUCAAGAAGAGGAAAAUUUAAAUUUUUCUUACCUUGGUGCAGCACGGGGAAGAAGAACAACAACGAAAGAUGACUCUUUGGAAAGGCAAGAGAAGAAAAAAGCUAGGGGAUGGGGAACAAAUUUCAUUUGGCUUCUCUCUUCCUUGUUGGAAUAAUGAUUGUCUUCCAAAUUUAGUUAAUCCCCUGCUUAAGGCAUAAUUAAAUAGGUAUUAGGGGCAAUUGGUUUCCUUUUCCUAGAAGAAGUCUAUCUCCAAAUCAAGGGAAUAGAUCAAGUUCAAAUUGGGAAACAAUUCUACAAGCUCAUGUAGCUUGGGAUUUCUACACCUACUACCAUUUUUUUAAGUCCAACCCAGCAAGUGUGGAGGCAUUUGUGGAGCCUAAAAUAAUCCCAAAUAUCCUUGAAGCGACACGUGGACUUUUGCUCAAGAAAGACAAGAUUGCCCUUAAUAAAUGUUAGGCUCCUCAGAUACUCCCAUGCACAGCUCACACCCUUGAAGGUCACAGCAGCUGAAUACGACUGCCCACAGCCUACCUGCCCUUGGUAAGGAAAAUUCAAAGCAUUAAAGAUAAGGAUUAAUUACCCAAAUUCUAUCUUUAAUACAUUCCCAAUGGAAGAUUGACUCCAUUCAAGUAAGUAAUCCCUAUUUAAUUCAAUUAGGAAUAAUUAGUCCAUUAUCUCAAGAUAUUAUUUCUUAUUUAAUAUCUUGAGAAUAUUUCUCUAUAAACCUUGGCCAAUAGGAUGCCGCCAUGUGUAUAGUUAAACUCUAACACAAUGGUCGGCCCUCCCCUUCUACAUAUACCCUUUAUUCUACCAAAUUCCGGUAAGCUUUUGCUACCCUAAAAAGGUCUAAACAUUUUACUCUCCUAAGAGAAACUAACUUAGGCAUCGGAGAUCCAUUGGCCUAGCUCCCCCCUCCAUCUUGUGGGCGCAUGAGGCUUAGGUCUUUGAUCAAAAUUGUUGAUUGUUUUGCAAGUGCAUUUUCGUCAAAGCUAGAGAAGCAGAAAUUUACAUCGACAAUCAGCACAUUUGAUUAAAAGACCAAAGUCUCACGCGUCCACAAGGAGUUGGGGGUGAUUUGACCAAUGGAUCUCCGAUGCCUGAGUUAGUUUCUCUGAAAACAGUGAGUGUUUAGGAUUUGUAUGCGUAGCAAAAACUUACUAAAAUUUGGAGGUGAUGAGGGUAUUAAUAGGAGGUAGUUGCCGACCAUGUUGUAAGCUUUCGCCCAACCAAGUUAUGUCAUCCAUACAAUGCACAAGGAAAGGAUAUUUCCAAUAUAUUAAUUGGGAGAAAAUCUCUUGGAAUAAUAGUGAGAAUAUCCCUACUUGAUUGUAAUAGGAAUUUCUUACUUGAUAGAGUUGGUCUUCAAUUGGAAUGUAUUAUAGAUAGGAUUUAGUAAGUAAUCAUAUGUUUAAUGUCUUUCACUUUUCCAUGCCACAAGCAGGGGAGCCUUGAGCAAUCGUGUCCACUGCCUUGCACUUUCAAGGAUGUUGAGUUGCAAAUGGAAAUACAAAUAUGCCAUGCCCAUUUAAUGAGAACAAUCUUAUCUUUUUGUAGCUAAAGUCCACAUGUCGACUUUUAGAUUUUUGAGAUUAUUUUUGGCUCCACACUACUGUACUUGGAUAAGUUGCUGUUAUAUAGAUGUUGAUAGAGUAGACAUGCAUGACUUGGAGGAAAUAUAAAAUUGGUUCGCGCGGAUGGGGUUUAGAUAGGGAGAAAAUGUCAUUUUACUUCUUAAGUGGCUAAAGGCCAACAGUUCAUGUGAAAAAUUAUGAGACCAAUUAAUGACUGGAAAAUCUUAAAUUUUAGUUGUGAGGUGGGAAGUGGUCAUUUAUAAAAUUUUAGUGUGGUAAUUUGACUAAAAUAAAAAUUUAUUGACAAAAUUGAUAUUAACUUACAAUUUUAUUGGAGUGAAUCGACGAUAUAUUUAAAGUUUGCUUUUUUUACAAUUUUGACUUUUCGACUCUCAUGUAUCGUGAAAAUCGUAGUUUGCUACUCUUAGUUUUUUUUUUCUUUGUCUCACUUUAAUACCUAAUGUUAUGUUUUGCUUCUAAAUUCGUACUUUUGUUAGCCUGAACAUCAAGAGCACCGCUAAAAUGUGACGUGACACUAAAUUAAAUGAUAACUAUGCAAAAACAUGGCAUUGUCAUAGUUUACUAAUUGCAAAUGAAGUAAUUCCCAGAUUCCCUCUUUACCCCCAUCCAAUCACAGUUUUACACAUACCUAAAAUUACAAUAUAAACUUGUGAGCAAGGUAUAAAAUAUCGAUGAUAUCGGAAAUAUCGGUAGUCCAAAAACACGGAAAUUUCGAUGGAAAUAUUAGGAUAUUAUUGAUAUCGAUAAAAAUUGAAUAAAAACCACAGAAAUUGUAAGAAAAACUUGGAAAUUUUUAUUGAAACUUUGCACGAUAUUUAUUUAGUCAAUUAUCUAUUAGUUUAUCACAAAAAAUUGGAAGGAAAUGCAUUGCAUGAUAGAUAUAACUGAUUUAAGUUGAUUAUAUAGCGAGCUAACAAACAUUGUGAGUGUAGAAAAUAUAGAGUAAUUAAUGAAAGAAGUUUAAACACACCAUAAUCAUUUAUAUAUAAUGAAUUAGUACAAUAUUUUACACUUUAUAUAUUGCAUGGUAAGAUACAUGAGUGACUUAGCAAGGUCUAAAAUAUCGAUGAUAUCGGAAAUAUCGGUAGUCCAAAACACGGAAAUUUCGAUGGAAAUAUCGGAAUAUUAUGGAUAUUUUAGACAAUACUUGUGAGGGAGAUAGAUAGAUCAGGGAACUGGAUCUUCUCCUGAGCUCAGGGAUAGGGAUCCUUAUAAGCAGUCUAUCUGGACCGUUCAAACUUGAUCCAACGACUAUAAUUAUUAUAAUUUUUAGAGAAAUCCCUAUUUU